CCGACCCCGCCCUCCCCACCCCGAGGAUAUAGGUAGCUACUGAUGUGCCUGCCUAAAAAGAAGCCCCCGUGGGGCGAAAGGGUUUUCGCCAACAUUGCGUCGUCAUCUUAAAGGGUAAAACCUCGCUGAGCGCCGACAGGCCCUACUAGAAGGCAUCCUUGUAGGAAUACUGGCUUUGUCGGAAGGAAAGCCAGCCUGAGGGAUGGAUGCGUCUGCGAGGCUGCUAACAAUGUCCAGCGAGCAGUCCGUCAUAACGAUGGUAAAUAGAGCGGAGGUGGAAAACUGACGGUGAAAAUGGCAUUGUUUGAAUCAGGCGCCCAAGAGCCGGCUUUUUUUACAACUACGCGUGCGCACCAGGUGAGAGUGCCACGCCCCCCUCCUUGGUGGCUUGUAGUCUGGUCACCGUUAGUGCUGCCAGCCAUGGUUUACCAGGUCAAGGGACCCGCUAGUUUUUUUGUACAGGAAUGAGCUGGGAUCGCUGAUAGCCCCACAGAUAACAACAUCUCUAGUCUUUACGAGUUCGUUAUUGGAUUGCAUGUUCCAAAACCACGACGCUAAGGUGAGCGCCGACUCCGCGAUCAAAACUGCUGGAUCCUCUUGCAGAGGACACGAACUCGGUUCCCAGCACCUUCCUGGCGGUCCACAACCGUGUGAGCCCAGCUCCAGGACAUCCGACUCCCUCCUCUGGCCUCCCUGGGCAACUCCAUGCAUGUGGUGCGCAGACAUACACUCCGGCACGCACGAUACUCAUGAAAAUCAACUUAAGAAAAUAUAAACUUUGAAUUGCUAUUCCCUCUUUGCCAACGAAGAGACCAAAAUUUUAAAACGUGGAAACCGAAGCUGGGUGGCCUGAGUGUUAGCAUUUAGGCAUUUACACUGGCCUGCACUCGGGGACCGAGUAGGACACAGCAGUAGCCAAGAUGUGACCCUGUAGCCACCCCACCAAGCCGAGUGAGCACUCGCCCUAUGCACAUGUGCUAUAUCGCCUUAUAAAAGGCAGGCCCUUCUCGCCCCCUCUUCUGCUCUCCCUCAAAGGCCGCCUUUGCACCUCCCACGUGAGCUCUGCUGCAUGGUAUGACUUUGUGGUGCCCCUUGGCUCCAGCUCGCCUUCUGCCGCUCAACUAUUACAGAGUGUAAAGGCACUGACUUCAAACCUAGCCAUCUGAGUUCAAUCCCGUGUCCAACACGGUGGAAGUAAAGCACUGAUUCCUUCAAGUUGUCCUCUGAUCUCCACCCAGGCACAGGAGCAUGAGCCUCUCACUCCCACAAAUGAAUAAAUCAGAUGGAAGCUCUCAGCCACUGCUCCAGCACCAUGCCUGCCUGCCACCCUGCUUCCCAUCAAGAUGAUCAUAGACUAGCUCUCUAAAACUUGUUUCUCUGCGUAGCCCUGGCUGUCCUGGAAUUUGCUCUGUAGCCCAGGCUGGCCUUGAGCUCCAGAGAUCCACCUGCCUCUGAAUCCCAAGUGCUGGGGGGCAAGGGGGGGAUUAAAGGUUUGUGCAACACCACCACCUGGCACAUCUCCACAGAAACCAGAGAAUGGAAGUGAGUGUGCAACACCACCAGUGAGUGUGCAACACCACCAGUGAGUGUGCAACACCACCACCUGGCACAUCUCCACAGAAACCAGAGAAUGGAAGUGAGUGUGCAACACCACCAGUGAGUGUGCACCACCACCACCUGGCACAUCUCCACAGAAACCAGAGAAUGGAAGUGAGUGUUGAGCAAUCCCUGGCGAGUCAAACGGAUGCACUCACACAGCGAGCCGCUGCUGAGGGAGAAGAAGGGGAAUAAAACUGACCAUGAAGGAAGAAAACCGGAUCUCAAAAAUAUGGCGCUAAAAAUAAAAUUCCCCGAGGUGAAGGAAGCCAGAUGGACCGCGCUGGCCAACUCCGUCUCCACUUAUGUGAAGUAUCAAGACACAAACAAACCCAGACAGCCAGGAAGUCAUCAAUAACAACCGGGCUCUCCUGCCCAGGGCCUGGCCGGAGGGUGUGAGGCCUGUGUGAGCUGAGGAAAUGGGAGAAGCCAGACCAGAGACUGAGAAGGGGUUGCCAACGAAGUGGAGAGAAAAGAAAGAGAGGGUGGUGGCGCUGUGGGAGCUGGAGGGAGACUGAAUCCUAGGUGAGAACAAGAUGUCAAAGAACGUGGAGGUCGGAAGUCAAGGGAGUACAGAGCAGCCCGAGGAUUUAGUUACCUUGCCAGGGGCAGUUUUGGUGAGCUGGUGAAGGCUAGAGAGCUGGAAACCAAUGUGAAGCAGUGUGGAUAGAUCCCUCCCUCACCAGCAGGAAAGGCUGGAGGCUCUCAGAGACCAAACUGCGAGCAUUAGCCAAUCCCAGGGCCUUUCCACACCAGAGAAAGUUUUUUUGUUUGUUUGUUUGUUUUUUAGUUUUUUGAGACAGGGUUUCUCUAUGUAGCUUUGCGCCUUUCUGCUUUGGAGACCAGGCUGGCCUCAAACAGAGAAAGAAUUUAGAACAAAGUACGUCGUUGGAAGUUUAGCUCAGGUUAGCGUUUACGUCACUAUGGAGCUGAAGCUGGCUAUAAACACCUGAUGCUCUUCCCCCAGAGUCCAGUGGCCAUGGCCCACAGCCCCCUCCAGGAACCCUUUCCUCCUGAGCCACACCCAUCCACCUUUACUUCCCAGGGUCCAGCUCCUUCCUCUUUGCUGAGCCUAUGUCCCUGGGACCCUAGUCUCUGGUCCAUUGGACCGCCAAUCUGUCAAGUAUAUAGCCAGUGAAGAAACGCCAAUGAACACAAGAGAAACUGACUAUGGAAAAAUGCAAUAACUAAGAUGGAAAAGCCUAACUUAACGAUACAACGAAACAUUCCUGUCUUCCAUUUUUUCUUCUGGAGACGAGGUCUCCCUGUGUAGCCCUCACAAGAGAUCCAAAUGCCUCUGCCUCCUAAAUACUGGGAUUAAAGGUGGAUGCCACCACUCCUGGCAAGUAAGUG